rnacentral:rRNA from 1 species
UACGAAGGGGGCUAGCGUUGCUCGGAAUCACUGGGCGUAAAGGGUGCGUAGGCGGGUCUUUAAGUCAGGGGUGAAAUCCUGGAGCUCAACUCCAGAACUGCCUUUGAUACUGCAGAUCUUGAGUUCGGGAGAGGUGAGUGGAACUGCGAGUGUAGAGGUGAAAUUCGUAGAUAUUCGCAAGAACACCAGUGGCGAAGGCGGCGCACUGGCCAGAUACUGACGCUGAGGCACGAAAGCGUGGGGAGCAAACAGG